ensembl:lncRNA
GUUUAGACCAACCAGCUCCUCAUCCAUGGAAGCGUCCUCAUGGUGCAGGCGGUCAAACCUCCACCUCUUUGAAGAGACCAAGCAGCUUGAUGACUGACUGGUUCCUUAUACUCCGGACCUCGUCCCGGAGUAGAGGACAGACCUAAGGCCCGCAGCGCAGCCGACUAGAGACUCUCUGUGGAACCGGUUCAAUAAAGUUGACCUCUCCUUCAGGUGACUUAAAGGGAGACCAGAUGUGCGGCAGCUGGGUGUCGUGGUGCAGAGAAAGUAAUUAUUUUCUCCAUUAUGUUGCACCACAUUUUGGGAAAGAAUGUUUGAAUCAAUCUUUGUCAUUUAUUUCUGUAGUCCACAUCUGUAAUCCCAGCUGUUGUAUUGUAACACGGUAGCUGGGACCCCUCUUUAUAGGGAGCGGCUAAAGGGACGAGGCUGGAAGCAAACCUGAGCCUGGAUCUUAACCUUCUUUCUAAACCUAAUGCCGCAAUUUAACCGCAAAGAAAGUGAGGCCUAAAGUAACUUGACUGUUACCUAAACUUGCUUGCCUAAACUCGCUUGUCUAAACUCGCUUGCAUAAAACCUAAACUCGCUUGCAUAAAACCUGAACUUGCUUGGCUAAACUCGCGUCGCUUGCCUAAUACCUGAACUCGCUUGCCUAAACGCUUGCCUAAACUCGCUUGCCUAAACUCGCUUGCCUAAACUCGCUUGCCUAAUACCUAAACUCGCUUGCCUAAACUCGCUUGCCUAAACUCGCUUGCCUAAACCCGCUUGCCUAAUACCUGAACUCGCUUGCAUAAACCCGCUUGCCUAAAACCUAAACUCGCUUGCAUAAACCUAAACUCGCUUGCAUAAAACCUAAACUCGCUUGGCUAAACUCGCUUGGCUAAUACCUGAAGUCGCCUGCCUAAACUCGUUUGCCUAAUACCUGAACUUGGUUGUCCAAACACGUUACACAAAGUUAACCAUCCAUAAUCUUUAACCCAAACCAGACUUGUCCCUGGGUCGCUCCACUUUGAUUUAGAAGUUUCUUCUGUUACCUCAUCUGUGUUUUGAGUCUCAUUCUUUGAGGGCUUGAAGUGCUUUGGAGGAUAUUUGAACAUUUGUUUGCCGCAUUUGUUCGCCAAAUGUUCAGUGUCCUUACAUGUAAUGUCUAUGGUCUGACGAUAAUCUGACCUCUUCAUGAAGCAGAAUGUGUGUGAAUGUUGUCCCGUGAGCUCCAGGCUCUCUGUGGGCCUGUCAACGUCUCUUUAGCAAAAGGUUGGAGAGUGAAAUUCAUUUUUGUGCCAUUUUCAUGUGUUCCUGAGUAGUUCAGACCUGUGGUGUUUCACACCACAGACCUUAAUGGGAACUUUUAUUUUUCUGCCUGCACGUAAUGCCUACAUUUGUAGGGUGAUCACUGUUGAUCCCAAUAUUGAUCAUUAACCACCUCAUUCUUUUAUGAUUUUUUUUUCGAUAAGGAUUACAAAUCAUGUAAUUUAUGAGCAUAUUUGCAAAUGGCUCCAAAUAUCAGAUUGUGUAAAAACUAAUGAUGUAACCUGCUUGAUUUAAAGAAAAUAAAACAUUCAAAUAUUAUAAA